rnacentral:rRNA from 1 species
GAUGAACGCUGGCGGCGUGCCUAAUACAUGCCAGUCGAGCGAACAGACGAGGAGCUUGCUCCUCUGACGUUAGCGGCGGACGGGUGAGUAACACGUGGAUAACCUACCUAUAAGACUGGGAUAACUUCGGGAAACCGGAGCUAAUACCGGAUAAUAUAUUGAACCGCAUGGUUCAAUAGUGAAAGACGGUUUUGCUGUCUCUUAUAGAUGGAUCCGCGCCGCAUUAGCUAGUUGGUAAGGUAACGGCUUACCAAGGCAACGAUGCGUAGCCGACCUGAGAGGGUGAUCGGCCACACUGGAACUGAGACACGGUCCAGACUCCUACGGGAGGCAGCAGUAGGGAAUCUUCCGCAAGGGGCGAAAGCCUGACGGAGCAACGCCGCGUGAGUGAUGAAGGUCUUCGGAUCGUAAAACUCUGUUAUUAGGGAAGAACAAAUGUGUAAGUAACUAUGCACGUCUUGACGGUACCUAAUCAGAAAGCCACGGCUAACUACGUG